rnacentral:lncRNA from 1 species
UGGGUAACGCUGCGAUGGACUGGCGUCCCGUCCAACAUGCGAACACAUACACCAUAGAAACCGGGAAACCGGGCCCAUGAGCCUGGCUGGGCUUUAAAACGGCACAUUUAUUUAUUUUAUAUACUGACAUAGACCAUCACUAGUUCCUUGGAUUCUACUGUUUCAACUGCAGAGUGGUUGUUAAAGGGCCAGAUAAAAUAUGCUUUGCAGUAUUAAUUGCAGCUCUCUCUGUUUUGAGUUCAAACUCAUUUAAGUUAACUUUGCUGCUUUCAACCUUAUAUGGGUCAAUUAAUACUAAUCCAGGGAGGGGGAUUGGUUGAAUGUUACUGCAUCUAGGGAUAUAUCUUGUAUUAUUUGCCUUGGCCCUGCUAUUCUGUCUUCUGUUACUGGCAAAAACAAUGAAAGAUUUGGGACGUCCUUAAGCGAAUAUCUGAACAUUUCAACUGAUUACUUUCAGUGCCAGCGGACCAGCUGGUAGGAGAGAAAGGCAGGGGUACAUUCAUACCCCGUGCACUCAACAAACAAUAAUAAUAUAAGUCACACAUUUAUAAAGAGUUAGACAUAUGUAAGAGAUACUUUACUCAUUGAAAGCUCUUUCUUUCUCUCCAAUGAUUCCAGAUAAACAAAGAGUGGGGUAAAUAGCAAUUCAUUGCUAUACAUUUUCUGUUAAUUCCAUUAAUAAUAGUAGUUGAAAACAUUAUUGGUCAGUUGUGAUGAUUGGCACCUCUUGCAAUGUCUUUAUAUUCUGUUUGAACGAAAAUGCAAAAAAGAAAAUUUAAAAAAAAUAUAAUAAAUAAAAAAAAAAAUUUAACUUGAAAUAUCUUUUUACUUCACGUCUGUUCUCUGCAAAACAUGGUUGAACUGUAAUUAAAUGAAGACGUGAAAGAGAAUUUAAAGAUGUUUUUACCUGGACUGUGGAUGUAAAUGAAUCUAAACACUCAAUAUUCAGCAAUGCAAUAAGUACUGCUGUUACAAUAAUAACACUAACGAGGCAUUUAUUAUUGUCAUAUUGCAAUAGAUGCUGGGUCUGUUAUCAUCAUCUUUGACUAUCAUCAUCAUCUACGACUGUCAUUAUCCUCAUCAUCAACCAUGGUUCAUCAAACCAAUGAAGGAGCCUCUACAUGGUUGCUUGGUAAGCUAGAAAAAGAAACAACUGCUGUAUCUCCCUCAACUCACACUCUAGUAUCUUUCAAAAAUGAAUGUUACAUUGCAUAAUAUAGUCCUAGAUGGACUGUUUUGCAAUGAAAAAAAGAAAAAAAAAACAACAAAUGGUGGUGGUGGUGGCGUGAUUGAACACUUUUGAUGACUGGUCGGCUCUGUUAGAUAUGACAACAACAACAACGGUAUAUCUAGUAACUCAAGAUAUUGGGUCUGAUUACUGUCAUGAAUGGAAUCUUUACAGCAGAUGUUAUCGACCAGAUAGAUGACGGUACCUGGUGGUUUCAUUGACUUAUUAAUUACAGUUUUGUAGUCCCAUUACUUUAGAGACUUUGACACUCCAUCAUUCUACUCCAUCAUAAUUCAUACUUUUACAUGUUGCCGUUGACUCCACGAUGCUCCUGAUGUAUUAAAGAAAUAAGUGAUAUUCAUUAUUGAUUUAUCGAAUAAACGCAUUCACUCAUUAUGUACUGAUA